rnacentral:rRNA from 1 species
CCCAGACUCCUACGGGAGGCAGCAGUGGGGCCUCUUGCGGAAUGGGCGCCAGACUGACGCAGCGCCGCCGCGUGUGGGAUGAAGGUUUUCGGAUCGUAAACCUCUGUCAGAAGGGAAGAAAGUGCGUGGUGCUAAUCAGCCGCGUAUUGACGGUACCUUCAAAGGAAGAACCGGCUAACUCCGUGCCAGCAGCCGCGGUAAUACGGAGGGGACGAGCGUUAAUCGGAAUUACUGGGCGUAAAGCGCACGUAGGCUGUUGUGUAAGUCAGGGGUGAAAUCCCACGGCUCAACCGUGGAACUGCCCUUGAUACUGCAUGACUGGAAUCCGGGAGAGGGUGGCGGAAUUCCAGGUGUAGGAGUGAAAUCCGUAGAUAUCUGGCGGAACAGCAGUGGCGAAGGCGGCCACCUGGACCGGUAUUGACGCUGCGGUGCGACAUCGUGUGGAGCAAACAGGAUUAGAUCCCCGAGUA